rnacentral:rRNA from 1 species
CCUACGGGAGGCAGCAGUGAGGAAUAUUGGUCAAUGGCCGGAAGGCUGAACCAGCCAUGCCGCGUGAAGGUCAGUGCCCUAUGGGCGUUAAACUUCUUUUGUGCGGGAGCAAUAAUGGUCACGUGUGGCCAGACGAGAGUACCGUACGAAUAAGCAUCGGCCAACGCCGUUCCAGCAGCCGCGGUAAUUCCGGGGAUGCAAGCGUUAUCCGGAUUUAUUGGGUUUAAAGGGUGCGUAGGGUGGGAGGUAAGUCAGCGGGGAAAUGCCCCCGCUUAACGGGGUGAAGUGCCAUUGAUACUGCCGUGCUGGAAUGCGGAUGCCGUAGGAGGAAUGUGUGGUGUAGCGGUGAAAUGCAUAGAUAUCACACAGAACACCGAUUGCGAAGGCAUCUCACGAAUCCGCGAUUGACGCUGAUGCACGAAAGCGUGGGUAUCAAACAGGAUUAGAUACCCCAGUAGUC